CAAGUCGGACGAGAAAUUCCGAUUCGUCGGGAGAGUAAAGUGGCGAACGGGUGAGUAACACGAGGGUAAUCUACCCUUAAAUUAGGGAUAACCUUGCGAAAGCGAAGCUAAUACCUGAUAAGACUACGAUCUUCUAGGAGAUAGUAGGAAAAGAUGGCCUCUGUUUCAUGCUAUUGUUUAAGGAUGAGCCCUUGUACUAUUAGCUUGUUGGUGAGGUAAUGGCUCACCAAGGCGACGAUGGUUAGCUGGUCUGAGAGGAUGAUCAGCCACACUGGAACUGAGACACGGUCCAGACUCCUACGGGAGGCAGCAGUGAGGAAUAUUGCGCAAUGGGGGAAACCCUGACGCAGUGACGCCGCGUGAGUGAUGAAGGCUUUCGAGUCGUAAAGCUCUGUUAGGUGGAAAGAAAUAUUUCAGUGCCAAUACCACUGGAAUUUGACGGUACCACCAGAGGAAGCACCGGCUAACUCCGUGCCAGCAGCCGCGGUAAUACGGAGGGUGCAAGCGUUGUUCGGAUUUACUGGGCGUAAAGAGCGUGUAGGCGGUUAGGCAAGUCAGAUGU
rnacentral:rRNA from 1 species